GGCACGGAGUUCCAUUCGGGGCCUGCCAGCAGCUUGCUCUCCGAUAGCCCCGGGUCGGGCUCCAGAACGUCCCAGAGUCACCCACCCACUCCCGGGGCUCCUCGGACUCAGCACCUCCCUGGUUUGGGGUACAGCCUGGGGACUAAGGGUGCGCUCAAGUCCCCGGUCCGGUGCCUAUACCCAGGAGAUCCCAGGAGAACCCUUUCCAGCUCCUUUAACCCCCACCCCACCCCCUUUUGACCCUGGGAGCAGGUCCCUAGACCUCCCGCCAAGCUAGAACCAUGCGGGAUUGGAUGUUGGCAGUUUUGUCCAAAGAACAGCUGGACAACCCAUGGAGGCUAAGGCGAAUUGCUCAGGGUCCUGGAAGUUCAAGGAGAGAAAGGACCACCAAUCCCACACAGGUUUCCUUCUCCAGGGCCUUCCGACCUUUCUACUUGAAUCACUAGGUGGGUUAGUUUAAAUCCUUGUUCUUAAUGUCCUGCUGUCCCUAAAGAUCCGCAGGGGCUGCGGGCCUCUCUCCGGGGUGCUGCUCCACGUGCACUGGGACACCUUGCCGGCCAGGUCACCUGUGUUUCUGGCACAGCCUUUGACAGUGCCUCUCAGGUGCACUGCAGAGAGCGCUGCCUUCGCCUGGCCUCCCACUUCUCCUACGUCUCUCAGGUGCACCGCAGAGAGCGCCGCCUUGGCCUGGCCUCCCACCUCUCCCACGUCUCUCAGGUGCACUGCAGAGAGCGCUGCCUUCGCCUGGCCUCCCACUUCUCCUACGUCUCUCAGGUGCACCGCAGAGAGCACCGCCUUGGCCUGGCCUCCCACCUCUCCCACGUCUCUCAGGUGCACCGCAGACAGUUCUGCCUUGGCCUGGCCUGGCCUCCCACCUCUCCCACGCCUCUCAGAAUUUCGCUGCUCUUCUCCAGGCGCGGUUAGCCACCGGGCUCGCCCUUAGCAAGCUUUUCUCCGUGGGCAGGAGAGGCUGAGGAAGCACAGACCACCUCCCCUCCUUCCACACCCAGGAGGAACCAGGCUGAGGCUGUCUAGGUUCAGCCCAGCCUCACUGCCGCCCCAGCCCAUGACCAGGACCAAUUUGACCUGCCAGCUCCUGCCUUCCUCAGUUGUCCAGUGAAGCCAAAACACUGCGAGCCUUAGAGGGUUGCUGGGAAGAGUGAUUGAUGACUGUGGAUGAAGCACCAGAAGGCCCAGGACACAGGAUACGCUUUCUAAGUGGCAGCUACUAUUACUGCUGUUUUUCCUAGUGGCUGAGUUCAUAAUGCCCACCAUCGGAGGCUGUCCUAGGGCUUACGGACGCUGGGUGGGAGGAAACACCUAGUGUGGGGGCACACAGACCAGGCCCCGGGAUGCUGGGGUCCAUUGCUCCGUCUCUCUGGUUGACCUGCUACUAGAGUAGGCCUGACACCGCCUUUCAAUGACUUUCCCUUCUUUCCCACCUUUCAUUGACUAGCCCCGUGUCUUCGGGGGGGCUAGUCCCCCAGUCUAGUCCAUGUGUUUACCUGUCCUCUGGACCCCAGGCCCAAUCUGGCCUUUUCCUGGCCUGCCUUUCGGUGUAAACAUGUCCUGGACCAGAUUCAGAAUCUCAGUAUCAUCAAGAGACCUCUGGCCCCCUAGGCCCUCACUCAAAUGUCACCUUGGCGUGGCUCCCCCUCACCAGAUGGACACUCCUCAAGGGGCUUCCUUUCCUGCUCGGCCUCCGCAGCCUUUGCUGCCAUGUAUCCUAUGCAUAUUUUUAUCCUCUGUUGAUGGUUUACUUUUCCGUGUUCAUCUCGUUUGUUUAGCUUCCCUGUGUCCUGCAGCUAUACCUCAAGCUCCCCGAGGGCAGAAAGCGGUGCCUGUUCUGCUCCCCUCUGCUUUGCCCCCACCUACAGCAGUGCUGGGACCUAGCAGUGCUCAUCAUCAAAGAUGGAAAGUGAAAAGGAAAAAGUGUACUCUUUGUGAAAAAGAGUGUAAAAGAACACAAAUUGCUUGCGCCGUGGUAACGUGUUACUGGGGGCCUGAGAAGGGCUCCUGAAGAGGCCACUUCCAGUCACUAAGCGCUUCUGCGGUACUGCCCCGAGGGGCUGCUAGGGGGCCUCAUUACGGAGGAAACUGUCUUUCUGAGAUGCCUUCCAUGGUUUGAUCACGGUUCCUCUGGGGAGGAAAUUCAGGAGAGACCCACCACCUCUGACCCUUAAUGUACGUAAGUCACAUUGUGUAACCUUCAAAGAUGAGCAAGCCAUCUCGGGAAGUGGCAGGCAUCCAUGCAAACUUGAUUUAAACUUCUCAACUCAUUGAACUUGAAAACUGACGAGGGCCCUGCUGCGUGGUGCAGGCAGAAGCGUCCGGAUCCGCAGUGCUGGAAACCACAUGGCUGCCCAGGUCCGGAUCCUGAGUCAGCCUGACAAGCGGGGAGAGUGUCCGAGAUCCUGCUUGGCUGGAGGACUGGGAGAAGGGGAUCGUGCAGGAUGAGACUCCGCCAAGUGCGUCUGUCUCUCUCUCACACUC